GUCAUUUGCUAUCUUCUCAUGCCUAGAAAAACAAAAUUGGCCAUGGUUUUUUAUACUACUACGCAAGUAAAAAUUUGAAAUUUACGAAAAACUGUCAUAAAAAUGAAAAAAAAAAAUUACCAAAUUAAACAUUUCUAGGCCUGAGAAGAUAGCAAAUGGCUCAACCUAUCUGCCGUUUUAAUUUGGCAAACGAUGUACCAAACACCCUGUUAAAGUGUAGUUCAAGUCUGUUUAACCCUUUAACCGCCAGUCGGCCUUCGCCGACACAUGCUACAAUAUAAAAUGAACCGUAAUACAUUGUAAUAAAGUUUACUAUUGUAUGUCAUUAACAGUCGUGGCGGUCAAAAGGUCAAAGUUAUUGGGUAAAUAAUGAUGCCCUAAAAGCUUUAGAUUCCUUGACGUAAGCUCUUCAUGCUUUUUUGCUAUUUAAACGCAAUUGAAUUGCCAAUAAUAAUUAUGUUAAUGUAUUUUAGAUUAAGUUUUUUUAGAUUGUAUACAAACCAAAAAUACAGUGAGUUUCAUUUAUUAUGACUGCUUGAUAUAAUUCAUAUAAUAAAUAUUAUACACAUGUAUAAUAUUCGUUAUAUACUAUUACAGCCGUAUUCAUAAACAGUUAGAGCAUUGAUCAUCAGUUGCUGAUAACCGGAUGUCACAAAACGUGAUUCAUAAACACUUUUUAGCGCUAAACAGUUGAUCAUCUCUUUAUUAAAUCCUCGGAAAGUUAUGGAGCCGUGGACCCUUCUUUAUCUGUUUAUUAUCCCUAAAAUACAAGAUGGCGGUCACAAAACAGCUGAUUUUGACAAGACAGCAUUUCACAAAUUAGUGCAAACGUCGAUGAGACUUGUAUCGUAAUUUAGUGAUUUGGGUGUUCUUUUUGUUUAAAAAACGUCUAAAUUUAAUAAAUGAGUGGUUUAAUAUGUGUAAAUAAGGAGAUAAACCAUUACAUACCUAGAUAUAGUGCGCAAAUAGCGGGAAACCUAGAUAUUGUGCCUUUGCUAGGAGUUGUUUGCACGAUUGUAUGUCGCAUUCAUCAAGAUGCAAGCAAUUUAUGCGAUACGAACUGUUAUACCAUAAGACUAGACUUCUACGACUGGGGCACCGGCGUCGGAUAAAGCACCUCACCAACCUAUAUACCUAUCAUAAAAGAAUGAAAACUACUCCCGGAACUCCUACAGCGCAAAGAAUACAACCAACUUCAUUUGAUGGCGGUGUGCAGGCCGGUUAGAUGCCAGAAGAGUGUGGCCUCCGGAUUGUGUAGCCAGCUCCGGACAAAUAGCUGAUGAUGGAAUACUCACAACCUGAAAAGAACACAGUUUCAAUUAAUAUACUCAUUGAAUCAA